GAUAAACGCUAGCGGCAGGCUUAACACAUGCAAGUCGAGGGGCAGCAUAGAUUGUAGCAAUACAAUUGGUGGCGACCGGCGCACGGGUGCGUAACGCGAAUGCAACCUACCCGUCACAGGGGGAUAAUCCGGAGAAAUCUGGUCUAAUACCCCAUAACAUAUGGAUCGGCAUCGGUUCAUGUUGAAAUUUUCGGAGGUGACGGAUGGGCAUGCGUAGCAUUAGCUUGUUGGUGAGGUAACGGCUCACCAAGGCGACGAUGCUUAGGGGGACUGAGAGGUUUUCCCCCCACACUGGUACUGAGACACGGACCAGACUCCUACGGGAGGCAGCAGUGAGGAAUGUUGGUCAAUGGGCGCAAGCCUGAACCAGCCAUGCCGCGUGCAGGAUGACGGCUCUAUGAGUUGUAAACUGCUUUUGUACGAGGGUAAAGUGGGUUACGUGUAACCUUUUGAAAGUAUCGUACGAAUAAGGAUCGGUUAACUCCGUGCCAGCCGCCGCAGUAA
rnacentral:rRNA from 1 species